UGGGGAAUCUUGCGCAAUGGGCGAAAGCCUGACGCAGCAACGCCGCGUGCGGGAAGAAGGUCUUCGGGUUGUAAACCGCUUUCAGUGGGGACGAAGGCAACCAGGUUAAUAGCCUGGAAGUUGACGGUACCCAAACAAGAAGGUCCGGCUAACUACGUGCCAGCAGCCGCGGUAAUACGUAGGGACCGAGCGUUGUCCGGAAUCAUUGGGCGUAAAGAGCGUGUAGGCGGCUAAUUAAGUCCCGCGUGAAAUCUCACGGCUCAACCGUGAGCGGCCGCGGGAAACUGAUUGGCUAGAGUGCGGGAGAGGAGAGUGGAAUUCCUGGUGUAGCGGUGAAAUGCGCAGAUAUCAGGAAGAACACCCGUGGCGAAGGCGGCUCUCUGGAACGCAACUGACGCUGAGACGCGAAAGCGUGGGGAGCAAACAGGAUUAGAUACCCCCGUAGUCC
rnacentral:rRNA from 1 species